AAUGAACGUUGGCGGCGUGGAUUAGGCAUGCAAGUCGAGCGAGAACCCAGCAAUGGGGGACAGCGGCACAAGGGACAGUAAUGUGUAGAUCAUCUGCCCUCAGGCCCGGGAUAGCUGCGGGAAAUUGCAGGUAAUACCGGAUAACAUCUCCGGAUCAAAGGUGUGAUUCCGCCUGAGGAUGAGUCUACAUCCUAUUAGCUAGUUGGCAGGGUAACGGCCUACCAAGGCGAUGAUGGGUAGCGGGUGUGAGAGCACGACCCGCGUCAUUGGGACUGAGGCACUGCCCAGAAACCUACGGGUGGCUGCAGUCGAGAAUCUUCGGCAAUGGGCGCAAGCCUGACCGAGCGACGCCGCGUGCGGGAUGAAGGCCUUCGGGUUGUAAACCGCUGUCAGAGGGGAUGAAAUACAGGUGGGUUCUCCCAUCUGUUUGACAUAGCCUCAGAGGAAGGACGGGCUAAGUUCGUGCCAGCCGCCGCAGUAAAAC
rnacentral:rRNA from 1 species